UCAAUUCAUACAGUAUUACACCAAAAAUAAUUCUAUAAAACUGAGAGUUACUGACAAUUUUCCGUACGAAACUAUAUUUUUUAUCUAUGAAAGUAUAAUCCAAAUUCAAAUAAAAAACAUUUAAUAAUUAAGGUGGUAUUGUUAUAAAGCUUGAAAAAAAAAUUGGUCUAUUUAAAAGUAAAACAAUAUUUUAAAAUAAUUUUUGUUUGCAAUGCAAAAAUCAAUAUAAAUCUUGUGACGCGCGGUGUUCAACUUUAGUCAGCGCCAGGCGCUUACCGAGGAGGGACGUAUCGCUCGCUGUUGCGCCGCGAAAACUCGCCGGAGUUCGAAAAAUAUAGCGCAACCUACGCAUCUAACACGUUUUGAUACUAGAUAAUGAAAGCAUAUUUAAUUCAGACUAUCAGACUCAAUUGAAUACCAGUACAAAUAAUAUGGAAAAUGAAGAUACAAUACAUGGAAGACGAAUUAUAGAUUUUAGUUUUUUUAUAAAUCAAUUACUUAUAAUUGAUAAACAUGGUGAAAAGUUUGGUUGUCGAUUAAAUAAUUUAAAAAUUGUAAACGAUUACUUGUUUAUUGUAACUCAAUCGAGCUAUUCUAGGUUAUAAAAUUCAUCGGUACAAAUAAUAUUUCAUAAACUAUAAAAACAAUAAAUUAUUUCGGAAAAAAGUGGCAAAGUCUCAAGUUUGUUUGUGCCGCGUGGCGGUCCGCAGGUGUGCGUUGCGUAUUUCACUAGACGCACACAUGCGCAAGUGCUGCCGGCUAUCGUCUAAUUUACCUACAACUGAGCAAUUCGAUUUUGUAAUAGCGCUCUUAAGAUAUUAUUCUAAAUGCUAUAAUCAUCGGCAAGAAUAUUGAGCCCUGACCUUCACCUACGCAGAAGUGAUUUAAUUUUAUUGGUUUAUUGCCUUAAGUGUACAGUGCGCAAAGCGAUCCCCACUCUUCCGCCGAGAGCUCAUUAUCCAUGCAGAUAAUUAUAAUAUGAUUUUGAAAGCUUGUAUUAAAAACAGCUGUGCUAUCAUUUCAAACAUAACUAAAACAUCUACCCAGUAAUUAUUCUAGAGAGAGAUUAACUAAAGAAUCAUCUAACUAAUAUAAGUGUGCACUAUCAUAAGUUUCUGCAUAACAUAGCUCAAUGUAUGCAGUAGGUAAUAUGGCCUGACUUUAAAUCACUAACA
rnacentral:lncRNA from 1 species